GGUGCCUUAGAGAAGUGGUUUAACUCACUCCCUUUGGGUCCGGUCGCACGGUCGUAUGGGAGAGAUCGAGGGUUCGAAUCCCUCAGGCACCC